rnacentral:rRNA from 1 species
GACGAACGCUGGCGGCGUGCUUAACACAUGCAAGUCGAACGGAAAGGCCCUGCUUUUGUGGGGUGCUCGAGUGGCGAACGGGUGAGUAACACGUGAGUAACCUGCCCUUGACUUUGGGAUAACUUCAGGAAACUGGGGCUAAUACCGGAUAGGAGCUCCUGCUGCAUGGUGGGGGUUGGAAAGUUUCGGCGGUUGGGGAUGGACUCGCGGCUUAUCAGCUUGUUGGUGGGGUAGUGGCUUACCAAGGCUUUGACGGGUAGCCGGCCUGAGAGGGUGACCGGCCACAUUGGGACUGAGAUACGGCCCAGACUCCUACGGGAGGCAGCAGUGGGGAAUAUUGCACAAUGGGCGGAAGCCUGAUGCAGCAACGCCGCGUGCGGGAUGACGGCCUUCGGGUUGUAAACCGCUUUCGCCUGUGACGAAGCGUGAGUGACGGUAAUGGGUAAAGAAGCACCGGCUAACUACGUGCCAGCAGCCGCGGUGAUACGUAGGGUGCGAGCGUUGUCCGGAUUUAUUGGGCGUAAAGGGCUCGUAGGUGGUUGAUCGCGUCGGAAGUGUAAUCUUGGGGCUUAACCCUGAGCGUGCUUUCGAUACGGGUUGACUUGAGGAAGGUAGGGGAGAAUGGAAUUCCUGGUGGAGCGGUGGAAUGCGCAGAUAUCAGGAGGAACACCAGUGGCGAAGGCGGUUCUCUGGGCCUUUCCUGACGCUGAGGAGCGAAAGCGUGGGGAGCGAACAGGCUUAGAUACCCUGGUAGUCCACGCUGUAAACGGUGGGUACUAGGUGUGGGGUCCAUUCCACGGGUUCCGUGCCGUAGCUAACGCUUUAAGUACCCCGCCUGGGGAGUACGGCCGCAAGGCUAAAACUCAAAGGAAUUGACGGGGCCCCGCACAAGCGGCGGAGCAUGCGGAUUAAUUCGAUGCAACGCGUAGAACCUUACCUGGGUUUGACAUGGAUCGGGAGUGCUCAGAGAUGGGUGUGCCUCUUUUGGGGUCGGUUCACAGGUGGUGCAUGGCUGUCGUCAGCUCGUGUCGUGAGAUGUUGGGUUAAGUCCCGCAACGAGCGCAACCCUUGUCCACUGUUGCCAGCACGUUAUGGUGGGGACUCAGUGGAGACCGCCGGGGUCAACUCGGAGGAAGGUGGGGAUGACGUCAAGUCAUCAUGCCCCUUAUGUCCAGGGCUUCACGCAUGCUACAAUGGCUGGUACAGAGAGUGGCGAGCCUGUGAGGGUGAGCGACUCUCGGAAAGCCGGUCUCAGUUCGGAUUGGGGUCUGCAACUCGACCUCAUGAAGUCGGAGUCGCUAGUAAUCGCAGAUCAGCAACGCUGCGGUGAAUACGUUCCCGGGGCU